CUGAACUCUUGGUGGGGGGAGUUGUUGCUGGCCAUUGGAUGCAUUUGCAUGCCUUCUGCCAUUUGUUUCUACAUUUUCUACCUGUGCACUGUUUGUAGACUAGGUGGGGAUUAUGAAGCUUGUCUCAUGUUCCUGGCUUGUCUAUGGCUUAUUUUACACAAAUGUGAUUGAAUGCUUUAUAAUUUGAACAAGUUUUUAUUAUA
rnacentral:misc_RNA from 1 species